GCUACACAUGCAGUCGUANGAUGAAGCCGGAGCUUGCUCUGGUGGAUUAGUGGCGAACGGGUGAGUAACACGUGAGUAACCUGCCCUUGACUCUGGAAUAAGCGUUGGAAACGACGUCUAAUACCGGAUACGAGCUUCCGCCGCAUGGUGAGGAGCUGGAAAGAAUUUCGGUCAAGGAUGGACUCGCGGCCUAUCAGGUAGUUGGUGAGGUAAUGGCUCACCAAGCCUACGACGGGUAGCCGGCCUGAGAGGGUGACCGGCCACACUGGAACUGAGACACGGUCCAGACUCCUACGGGAGGCAGCAGUGGGGAAUAUUGCACAAUGGGCGCAAGCCUGAUGCAGCAACGCCGCGUGAGGGACGACGGCCUUCGGGUUGUAAACCUCUUUUAGUAGGGAAGAAGCGAAAGUGACGGUACCUGCAGAAAAAGCACCGGCUAACUACGUGCCAGCAGCCGCGGUAAUACGUAGGGUGCAAGCGUUAUCCGGAAUUAUUGGGCGUAAAGAGCUCGUAGGCGGUUUGUCGCGUCUGCUGUGAAAACUGGGGGCUCAACCCCCAGCCUGC
rnacentral:rRNA from 1 species